ensembl:lncRNA
CUCCAGGCCAGUACCUAAGGAGAAAAGGCCACUGGCUAAAGUCUGGGCAUGCCUUGCUGCAAGCCAGUGAGAGGGAAGCACCCCCCACCCCUGUGCCUCCUUCAUACCAAACUGAACAAACAAUACAUCCCCAGUCACCACCGCCUAUCUGAAAACACACCAAGAGGGGUUACCAAGACAGAAAAUGAGCAAUCCUUUCAAGAUCUGUCCAUUAACAGCAGUAAAGGAGAUUUCAUAAGGUUAAUUGGAAAAAUCCACCCUACUCUCCUCCCUUCCCCGGCAACCAGUUUAACACUUGCACUUAUACCCAAAUGCACAAUCGUCACUCCUAACAGAGACAAAAACAGGACACACUCAAUUCUAGCAGUCGCUGCAAGGAACAGCACUUAGGCUGGCGGCUGAUAGCUGGGGCUUGGCUUCCUGGCUUCUAAACAAGACAGACCCUCCUCAAUCCAUGAACACGGUAAUGUCAGGGGGCGUUCUGGGCUUGAAUCUCUCCAUCCCACAUCACUGGAUCUCCCUGGAGGAGCAUACGAUCUUUUGUGGUUUGGGGCAGAGCCGAGUAACCCAAGGGCGUCUCUAAGAGCGCCUUCCUAGAGCUCGUUGCACCUGCUGUCAGGACAAAGAACCGAGAUUCAAAGAUUUCUGAGCAGGAAAUGUCGAAGAAUGAGGUAUCUUGAUGAAGGCAACCAAGAGAAUGAAAGCGAAGCGCAGCCUGCGCUCACAGGGCCUCCGGGCCCACACUCCUCCAACCCAGCCCCAAGCCCUUCAAAGGUUUGUGAGGCCUGAGCAGGUGCGGGCAAGUGGAUGGUGUCCUCAACCCACCACCGACAGGACACCCAGAAGGAAUGGGGUGGGGGGGGGCAGUUGUGAGAAGCAGGCCCCUGAGACAGCGGCUGAAAUAGCUAAACUUCAACCUAGAAGUUCAAACUCUGGUGCCCUGACCGCUGCUGAGGAGCCCUCAUCCAGUGGCUGAUGGAAGCAGAGGCAGACACCCACAGCUAAACACUGAACUGAACUCUGGAACCCAGUUGCAGAGAAGGAGGAGUGAAGAGCAAAGAGGUUUCAUUAAAAAAAAAAAAAAAAAGAAAGAACUUCAAACUCCGGCCCAGUACCCUUGCUUGCUUGGGAGAUUUGGCUGGGAGAUGGGUAUUGUGCAAGUUGCCUGCCAGGGCCAAAGAGGGUAUGAGGGAGCUCGAAACUCCUACGUGCUUAGAUGCAUUGUGAACACUGUCCAGCAGGACUGAAGAUGGUGCCCAGCCAAGGACACCUGUUACCCCAGGAUGUAUUUUCCAGGUGAAAAUGAAACAGGAUGUUGGGGCACUGACUGCUGUGUGCCACCCUAUAGAGAAACCAUGACGACUAUAUGAUAUCUUAGAGAAGAUAAGUGCUGUGCACCAUCCUACAGAAGAUUACACCCAGAGUUUUGAUCACUACCAUAUAUCAGCUCCCAGGGUGUUGGGGUGUGAUCCAUGGUGUAUAAAAGACCAUGGCUACUUUUUACCUGAAAGUGACUGAAUAAGAAGACAAUAAAGAGACACUGCAUG